rnacentral:snoRNA from 1 species
AUCUCAUGAUGAGAACACUUACGAUGUAACUCCUUGAAUCGCUCCAAGCCUUAUACAAAGACUUGUCAUCCAGUUGUUGGAAAGUUGUGAUCUUGUUCCUUAACUU